CAUGCAAGUCGAGCGAACCGAUGGAGUGCUUGCAUUCCUGAGGUUAGCGGCGGACGGGUGAGUAACACGUAGGCAACCUGCCUGUACGACCGGGAUAACUCCGGGAAACCGGAGCUAAUACCGGAUAGGAUGCCGAACCGCAUGGUUCGGCAUGGAAAGGCCUUUGAGCCGCGUACAGAUGGGCCUGCGGCGCAUUAGCUAGUUGGUGGGGUAACGGCCUACCAAGGCGACGAUGCGUAGCCGACCUGAGAGGGUGAACGGCCACACUGGGACUGAGACACGGCCCAGACUCCUACGGGAGGCAGCAGUAGGGAAUCUUCCGCAAUGGACGAAAGUCUGACGGAGCAACGCCGCGUGAGUGAGGAAGGUCUUCGGAUCGUAAAACUCUGUUGUCAGGGAAGAACCGCCGGGAUGACCUCCCGGUCUGACGGUACCUGACGAGAAAGCCCCGGCUAACUACGUGCCAGCAGCCGCGGUAAUACGUAGGGGGCAAGCGUUGUCCGGAAUUAUUGGGCGUAAAGCGCGCGCAGGCGGCUUCUUAAGUCAGGUGUGAAAGCCCACGGCUCAACCGUGGAGGGCCAUCUGAAACUGGGGAGCUUGAGUGCAGGAGAGGAGAGCGGAAUUCCACGUGUAGCGGUGAAAUGCGUAGAGAUGUGGAGGAACACCAGUGGCGAAGGCGGCUCUCUGGCCUGUAACUGACGCUGAGGCGCGAAAGCGUGGGGAGCAAACAGGAUUAGAUACCCUGGUAGUCCACGCCGUAAACGAUGAGUGCUAGGUGUUUGGGGAGUCCACCUCCUCAGUGCCGCAGCUAACGCAAUAAGCACUCC
rnacentral:rRNA from 1 species